rnacentral:misc_RNA from 1 species
AUUUUCUGUUUGCAGUAUAACAUUAUUUGCCAAUCUGUCCAUACAUGAUCAUGUUAUUGCCAAAGAAAAGGGGUGGGGGUGCACAUGCAAGAGUACACCAAGCCAUAAGAUGACAUUUUAUUCAACAAAGCCAACCAAACAACAACAUUUUAAUCGUACCCUCAGAAUCAUCAGCACAUAGCCUUCACAGGAACUUUGACAUAAAAUAAUAGGUUUCACAGCAUAUAAAGUCAAAUUAUAAGGAUAACAUGCAAGCAAAGCAUAGGGCCACCGAAAGGCCAUUUGUAUAUACAUCCCAACACUUCAUGUUCAGCAGUUCAUUAGGUGCCAAGUCUUUGUGCUCAAAUUUUUGCCCUACACGUGAGAAGUCAAUCCCUUGUGCUGUUCUUGAGCCAUUCUAGGUAUGGAAUGCUGCCACCAGUUAUAGGCAAGGAGAUUACUUCUGGUACCCUGAACAAAGAAAAAUGAAAAUAAGUAAUGAGCAGAGCAAAAUAAUCUAGCUAAUAUUUAUCAUUAUUUCCUUAAUUUUUCUCAACCAUUUCUAAGCGAUUUUCUUUUUGAGCUGUAGAGGAAUGCAACUGCAAUUAUCCUAAUAGACAUAAUGACCAUAUUCUAAGUAAAAAACAAAGUUGGAAUCAAAUUUUUAAUCCCAUCGCCCAAAAAUUAAGUUGAUCUUCCACAUGUAUCAUUUACUUAUCUUAAAAAGCAGAUCUUCUAAAGCAAUUUUUGCUACGCGAUUGACAUAUAUGGUACUUAUCUUUAUUGUUAUACAUACUCAUAUUCAUGAUUUGCCUUGACAUGCUCUGUUAGUGCUUCCAACAGAGAUUGCCUAGUCUUGAUUAUAAGUAGCUCCUCUGAAUCUGUCUGGACCUGCAACCAAUAUAGACAGAAGCAACUUAAAACUUAAUUGCACAAGGGCAUACAUAAACAGAAGAUGGUGUAAAACAUCUGGACUGAGAAUGGAAGUAAAGACAUUUGAGGCUUAUAUAUAAAAGAUCUAGAAUAAUUUGGGAAAAUGGAUUCAUACCUCUCCCUUCCACUCAUAUACUGAUUCAAUACCUGGUACUAUGUUCACACAUGCUGCUAGUUUCUCUUUGAUUAUGCUUUGAGCCAACUUUUUUCCUGCAUCUCGGUUAGGGACAGUAACGUACACAACGAUACUGGGUACAGUGUUGCCACUUGCUUCCAUUUUGAUAGUAUUAGCUUGCGAUUGGGUGCUAAACUUUGAUCUCAACAGAGAUACAAAGGGGAGAGAUUGAGCGCAACCCGUCUUGAGGGAAGAGGAGAGAGUGGGGCAAAGAUUGGAGAGGCCGAAGCUCAGCAUGCAAAAUGCCCCAACUAGGGGCAAACGCCUUCGAAUUGCAGAAGAAGAGAAGACAGAUGCAGCUCCAGCCGAACACAUGGCGUAAGCCAUUCUGUGUUUAUAUACACCGACGGUUUCAUUUGCUUGGGUUCGGAGCCAUGCUCUGAUACCUUUACCCCCGAGAAGAGACAACUUCUUGUUCUGCCACGU